GAAGUAAAGCAAGGGGAUCAAGAAGGUGGAUUUUCUGGUGUACUUCUUCGAGUAUAUGAGCCUCACAAUGAGCUUGUUAACUGUAAUUAUUGCAGGACUUCACUAGUGGAUUUUCACA